AGAGUUUGAUUCUGGCUCAGGAUGAACGCUGGCGGCGUGCUUAACACAUGCAAGUCGAACGGGAAACAUUUUAUUGAAGCUUCGGCAGAUUUAGCUUGUUUCUGGUGGCGGACGGGUGAGUAACGCGUGGGUAACCUGCCUCACACUGGGGGAUAACAGUCAGAAAUGGCUGCUAAUACCGCAUAAGCGCACAGCAUCGCAUGAUGCAGUGUGAAAAACUCCGGUGGUGUGAGAUGGACCCGCGUUGGAUUAGCUAGUUGGCAGGGCAGCGGCCUACCAAGGCGACGAUCCAUAGCCGGCCUGAGAGGGUGAACGGCCACAUUGGGACUGAGACACGGCCCAGACUCCUACGGGAGGCAGCAGUGGGGAAUAUUGCACAAUGGGGGAAACCCUGAUGCAGCGACGCCGCGUGAAGGAAGAAGUAUCUCGGUAUGUAAACUUCUAUCAGCAGGGAAGAAAAUGACGGUACCUGACUAAGAAGCCCCGGCUAACUACGUGCCAGCAGCCGCGGUAAUACGUAGGGGGCAAGCGUUAUCCGGAUUUACUGGGUGUAAAGGGAGCGUAGACGGUGUUGCAAGUCUGAUGUGAAAGGCGGGGGCUCAACUCCUGGACUGCAUUGGAAACUGUGAUACUCGAGCGCCGGAGAGGUAAGCGGAAUUCCUAGUGUAGCGGUGAAAUGCGUAGAUAUUAGGAGGAACACCAGUGGCGAAGGCGGCUUACUGGACGGUAACUGACGUUGAGGCUCGAAAGCGUGGGGAGCAAACAAGAUUAGAUACCCUGGUAGUCCACGCCGUAAACGAU
rnacentral:rRNA from 1 species